GACGAACGCUGGCGGCGUGCCUAAUACAUGCAAGUAGAACGCACAGUUUAUACCGUAGCUUGCUACACCAUAGACUGUGAGUUGCGAACGGGUGAGUAACGCGUAGGUAACCUGCCUGGUAGCGGGGGAUAACUAUUGGAAACGAUAGCUAAUACCGCAUAAUUUUAAUUAUUGCAUGAUAAUUAAUUGAAAGGUGCAAUUGCACCACUACCAGAUGGACCUGCGUUGUAUUAGCUAGUAGGUGAGGUAACGGCUCACCUAGGCGACGAUACAUAGCCGACCUGAGAGGGUGAUCGGCCACACUGGGACUGAGACACGGCCCAGACUCCUACGGGAGGCAGCAGUAGGGAAUCUUCGGCAAUGGACGAAAGUCUGACCGAGCAACGCCGCGUGAGUGAAGAAGGUUUUCGGAUCGUAAAGCUCUGUUGUAAGAGAAGAACGGGUGUGAGAGUGGAAAGUUCACACUGUGACGGUAUCUUACCAGAAAGGGACGGCUAACUACGUG
rnacentral:rRNA from 1 species